rnacentral:rRNA from 1 species
CGGCUCAGUAACACGUGGAUAACCUACCCUCAGAUCUGGGAUAACUCCGGGAAACUGGAGAUAAUACCGGAUAAUCCGUGAACGCUGGAAUGCCUUACGGUUGAAAGCUUUAGCGUCUGAGGAUGGGUCUGCGGCCGAUUAGGUAGUUGCUGGGGUAACGUCCCAACAAGCCGAUAAUCGGUACGGGUUGUGAGAGCAAGAGCCCGGAGAUGGAUUCUGAGACACGAAUCCAGGUCCUACGGGGCGCAGCAGGCGCGAAAACUUUACACUGCGCGAAAGCGCGAUAAGGGGACCUCGAGUGCGUGCGCAAAGCGUACGCUUUUCAGAUGCCUAAAAAGCAUCUGGAAUAAGGGCCGGGCAAGACCGGUGCCAGCCGCCGCGGUAACACCGGCGGCUCAAGUGGUGGCCGCUAUUAUUGGGCUUAAAGGGUCCGUAGCCGGACCAGUUAGUCCCUUGGGAAAUCUUACGGCUUAACCGUAAGGCUGCCAAUGGAUACUGCUGGUCUUGGGACCGGGAGAGGCAAGAGGUACCUCAGGGGUAGGAGUGAAAUCCUGUAAUCCUUGAGGGACCGCCAGUGGCGAAGGCGUCUUGCUAGAACGGGUCCG